AAAAAACAAGUACUUCUGUGAAAUUACUCUUCUGACGAGGUGCAUUUGUAGAAUGAGCUAGUAACUAAAGGAGGAGAGAAGUUUGUGUCUUGCUCAGUGGUCCUGCCAGCGUUGUGUCUUCUGUCACGAGUGAUGGAGGUCACUGAGGACGACCCAGCUUACAUGAUCAAGCACACAUGGAGGGUCGUAAAGAGAAGACUAACAUCACAUGGCAGAGAGUUGCAACAGCACUUGACCCAAGGCUUCUGUGGAUGGUGGUUCUAUCUGAUGGUGGUGGUCCCU